AGACAUGCCCGAGGCGGGUCAAAGUGUAGUAUCUGUUCUUAUCAGCUUAAUAUAUAUGAUACGGGUUGUAUUUGGACCCAAGAUAUUAAACUUAUUUUUGCAAGUUGGCGGAAUCCUUGAAGCCUGCUUCACCUCCACCGCGGGUCGGCCCGGCAUUGCAUUGUCUUCGGGAUCGGCCCACGGGAA